rnacentral:miRNA from 1 species
UUGUCUUGUGUAGUCCAUGAUAGCAUC